UGUAAAGCAAUUAUACUCCAAUAAAGAUGUGAAAAAAAAAAAAAAAGAAGAGCUUGCUUCUUCUCAGCACUGAGUGGUGGUUGCGGCGGGGUUACGGUUCUGCUAGUCAAACAGCUAAACAGCUUUCCUCCUCCAGUGUCUGAAGAUCUGGUCUACACCCUCCCGGGCAUGCAGCCUUAGAAUUAAUGGUCAAGCUCCAUGAAGGCAGGCACUGGGAAGAAGAUUUGGACCCAAUUGAAGAAAGAAGUUCCUAACAGCUACACUGAAAGCUCCAUGAGAAGAAAAUGGCUGCCUUUUUCACUGCUCUACCCUCAGGACCUUGUGUCUGGCACAAGUAGAUGAACA